GAACUUGAAUGGCCAGAAGUAGCAAGAAGUUGAUUCAGAAAUGGAGGAAAGCAAAAAGUUUGUCCCAGCACACAGGCACAGAUAAUCCACUUGCCCAAGUCAUUUGAAUUGGGCAUGAUAGCAAAUGUCAAGAAAUGCAAAUACACAAAUACACAUGUAUGGAGAGAGAGGGAAAAUGUUCAUAGUGUUGGGGGAAGAAAAGACCAAAUGAUUAAAGUGGCUAAGAGCUCUUACAUCUUGAUGAGAAAAUAUUUAACCUCUCUUGGCCAUCAGAAACCUGACUGAGCAUGUUCUCAGUUUUGUCUGCCAAAGGCUAUUUUGGAAUCUGGGAACAAUUGUUUUAAAAGGAAAGAAAUUGUCUAGUCUAGAUUCCAGAGGAGUGUGUUGAGACCUUCCUCUCAUUUCUAGCCUUGUCUUGGAGUGCUUCUCUGAAGUAAUGAUAAAUGAAGACCUGAAUGAUAAAGAGACAGUCAUAAAUAGAUCAGCAGAGAGGAAGCACAAAAUUUCAGGAGUGAAUAAGCUUGGUGUGUUAGAAAGAAACAAGGACGGAAACUCUGGAACGCAGUUAACCAGCACAGUUAACACAUUUUGCUCUAUGAAACAUACUCUAUUUCUGUGCCAAAAGAUCUAUUUGAAACAGAGCCAGUGUCUCAUUCCAGGAAGAGGAAAGGAUAUCAAGAGUUUCCAUGGCAAUCAGUUGAUGGAACUAAAUUAAGCAGGAAACCUCUUCAGAAUGCAAAGUAGUCUUGCAAAACAAAGUGGUUUGAAAUAUUCAGGAAGUGUGUCACAGCACAACGAAAGAAAUGGAGAUAUGAAUACCUCCAUAAUGUAAACUCCCUAACUGUAAAAUAAACAAUUAAAUGCUAGCUUUUGUCCUACAAAAAUAAA
rnacentral:lncRNA from 1 species